rnacentral:lncRNA from 1 species
AGUGGUAGCCGAAGAAGCUCUCUGGGCAGACGCACAGACUGCACAUACAUGGAUCCCAGGCUGCUUGAUACUGUUCUUCAUCCUCCUUCACAGACUCCAAAUACGUGGAUCCCAGGCUGCUUGAUACUGUUCUCCAUCCUCCUUCGCAGACUCCAGAUACGUGGAUCCUAUUACCCUAAUAUCGUUCUGCAGGUUGCUGAAGAUCUCUUCUUUUUCUUUUAGUCUUAUUCUCUCUGUGAUGCAUAUUGAAUUGUUUCUGUUUCACUCUUCAGGUUCAUUGAUCUUUCCUUCUGCAAUAUCUAACCUGCUGUAAAUACUAUUCAGUGUAUUUUAAAAACUCAGAUAUAUUUUUCAUUUCUACAAGUUUUUAAAAAUACCUUCUACUUCUCAUUAGGUUUUUUUCCCCUCAACAAUCUUGAUUAUAGGAGCAUAUUCAUAAUAGAUAAUUAAACAUUUGUAUCUGCUAAUUCUGUCAUUUCUGGUGCCUGUUUCUAUUGAUCUAUUUUUCUCCUGACUGUGAGUUAUAUGUUACUUCUUUGUAGACCUGAUAAUUUUUGACUGGGUAUUUUGGAGUUCUGGAUUCUGUUGUAUUAUUGAUAUACUCCUGUUGAGGAGUAUAGGAUUUUAUUCUGGCACAUGGCUCAAUGACUUAGGAUCAGUUUGAUCCUUUUAAGCUUUCUUUAAGAUCUGUUAGGGCAGGUCGACAUUAGUCUUUAGUUCAGCACUACUAAAGUGACACCCCACUGAGGACUCUAUGCAAUAGACUCCCAGCCCUGUUUGAGCUCCAGGAAGUGUUUGACUUACUGCUUUCUAGUGGUUCUUUCCCCAGCC